GGAAACGGGGAUUAAUACUCCAUAGUAUCACGAAUUCGCAUGUUUUUGUGAUUAAAGUUUUUCGGUAUGAGAUGGGCAUGCGUCCCAUUAGCUUGUUGGUGAGGUAACGGCUCACCAAGGCAACGAUGGGUAGGGGGCCUGAGAGGGUGGUCCCCCACACUGGUACUGAGACACGGACCAGACUCCUACGGGAGGCAGCAGUGAGGAAUAUUGGUCAAUGGAGGCAACUCUGAACCAGCCAUGCCGCGUGAAGGAUGACGGCCCUAUGGGUUGUAAACUUCUUUUAUAGAGGAAGAAACUUAUCUACGUGUAGAUAACUGACGGUACUCUACGAAUAAGGAUCGGCUAACUCCGUGCCAGCAGCCGCGGUAAUACGGAGGAUCCAAGCGUUAUCCGGAUUCAUUGGGUUUAAAGGGUCCGUAGGCGGGUCUUUAAGUCAGUGGUGAAAGCCGACAGCUCAACUGUCGAACUGCCAUUGAUACUGGAGACCUUGAGUACAAAUGAAGUAGGCGGAAUGAGUCAUGUAGCGGUGAAAUGCAUGGAUAUGACUCAGAACACCGAUUGCGAAGGCAGCUUACUAACAUGUAACUGACGCUGAGGGACGAAAGCGUGGGGAGCGAACAGGAUUAGAUACCCUGGUAGUCCACGCCGUAAACGAUCAUCACUCGCUGUUGGCGAUAUACUGUCAGCGGCCAAGCGAAAGUAUUAAGUGAUGCACCUGGGGAGUACGCCGGCAACGGUGAAACUCAAAGGAAUUGACGGG
rnacentral:rRNA from 1 species